rnacentral:rRNA from 1 species
AUUGAACGCUGGCGGCAGGCUUAACACAUGCAAGUCGAACGAAUGGCGGACGGGUGAGUGAUUCAUGGGCAUCUAGCUUAUGGACGGGGAUAACGACGGGAAACUGUAGCUAAUACCGCGUAACAUAGGAUGAGCACAAGUGGGAUUAGGUAGUUGGGUAGGUAAAGGCUCACCAGGCCGAAGCUCUCUAGCUAGUCUGAGAGGAUGACCAGCCACACUGGGACUGAGACACGGCCCAGACGCCUACGGGAGGCAGCAGUGGGGAAUAUUGCGCAAUGGGGGCAAGUUGACGCAGCCAUGCCGCGUGAAUGAAGAAGGCUUUCGGGUGGGAAAGUUCUUUUGGUAGAGAGGCGUUAUCUACAGAAGAAGCACCGGCUAACUCCGUGCCAACAGCCGCGGUAAUUC